CCUACGGGGUGCUGCAGUGGGGAAUAUUGGACAAUGGGCGAAAGCCUGAUCCAGCCAUGCCGCGUGUGUGAAGAAGGCCUUCGGGUUGUAAAGCACUUUCAGUGGGGAAGAAAGCCUUGGGGCUAAUACCCUCGAGGAAGGACAUCACCCACAGAAGAAGCACCGGCUAACUCCGUGCCAGCAGCCGCGGUAAUACGGAGGGUGCGAGCGUUAAUCGGAAUUACUGGGCGUAAAGCGCGCGUAGGCGGUCUGAUAAGCCGGUUGUGAAAGCCCCGGGCUCAACCUGGGAACGGCAUCCGGAACUGUCAGGCUAGAGUGCAGGAGAGGAAGGUAGAAUUCCCGGUGUAGCGGUGAAAUGCGUAGAGAUCGGGAGGAAUACCAGUGGCGAAGGCGGUCUUCUGGACUGACACUGACGCUGAGGUGCGAAAGCGUGGGUAGCAAACAGGAUUAGAUACCCCAGUAGUC
rnacentral:rRNA from 1 species